CAAAAACAUCUUUUCUUGUUAGUUUUUGAAGUAUGGCCUGCCCACUGACGUUAAUAGAGGUUGAAGGGCCGCGGUAUUUUGACCGUGCAAAGGUAGCAUAAUCAUUAGUUCUUUAAUUGUGAUCUGGUAUGAAUGGCUUGACGAGACAUGAGCUGUCUUAGAAGUAUUGUUUUGUUGAAUUUAGUUUUUGAGUUAAAAUUCUUAGAUGUUUUUAUGGGACGAGAAGACCCUAUAGAGUUUGACACCUAAUACUUCUUUUUUGUUUUGGGUUUGUUUAUCUUUAUAUUAGUUGAUUAGGUGUUUUGUUGGGGUGAUGGGAGGAAUAUAUUUUAACUCCUCUUUGGUUUUUUAUAUUUAUUUAUAUUUAUUUUGAUCCAUUUAUUUUGAUUAUAAGAUUAAAUUACCUUAGGGAUAACAGCGUUAUCUUCCUUGAGAGUUCUUAUUGGCAGGGGGGUUUGCGACCUCGAUGUUGGAUUAAGGUGAAUUUUCGGUGCAGGAGCUGAAGAUGAUUAGGUCUGUUCGACCUUUAAAAUCUUACGUGAUCUGAG
rnacentral:rRNA from 1 species